AUUGAACGCUGGCGGCAGGCUUAACACCUGCAAGUCGAGCGAGCGGCGGACGGGUGCGUAAUGUCUGGGAAACUGCCUGAUGGAGGGGGAUAACUACUGGCAACGGUAGCUAAUACCGCAUACCAUCAGAUGUGCCCAGAUGGGAUUAGCGAGUAGGUGGGGUAAUGGCUCACCAAGGCGAAGAUCCCUAGCUGGUCUGAGAGGAUGACCAGCGACACGGGGACGGAGACACGGUCCAGACUCCGCGGGUAGGCAGCAGUGGGGAAGAUUGCACAAUGGGCGCAAGCCUGAUGCAGCCAUGCCGCGUGUGUGAAGAAGGCCUUCGGGUUGUAAAGCACUUUCAGCGAGGAGGCGUUACUCGCAGAAGAAGCACCGGCUAACUCCGUGCCAGCAGCCGCGGUAAUAC
rnacentral:rRNA from 1 species